CCUACGGGAGGCAGCAGUAGGGAAUAUUGCUCAAUGGGGGAAACCCUGAAGCAGCAACGCCGCGUGGAGGAUGAAGGUUUUCGGAUUGUAAACUCCUUUUGUUAGAGAAGAUAAUGACGGUAUCUAACGAAUAAGCACCGGCUAACUCCGUGCCAGCAGCCGCGGUAAUACGGAGGGUGCAAGCGUUACUCGGAAUCACUGGGCGUAAAGAGCGCGUAGGCGGGAUAGCAAGUCAGAUGUGAAAUCCUAGGGCUUAACCAUAGAACUGCAUUUGAAACUGUUAUUCUAGAGUAUGGGAGAGGUAGGUGGAAUGUUUGGUGUAGGGGUAAAAUCCGUAGAGAUCAAGAGGAAUACUCAUUGCGAAGGCGACCUGCUAGAACAUAACUGACGCUGAUGCGCGAAAGCGUGGGGAGCAAACAGGAUUAGAUACCCGAGUAGUC
rnacentral:rRNA from 1 species